AUGGAAUAUUAGAUUUACAGUUUUCUAUAAUAAUGAAUUUGGUAUAUAUAUUUCAAGCUUUUUAUAUGGUGCUGAUGUUGCUGUCUGCAUACUUGAUUUAAGUAACUGGACAGAAGAUUUGUUCUUAUUACAGAAGCAUUCAUGAAAACAUUGGAAAUUGUGGAUGUGAGACGGGAUAUCAAGCUGAAUGGUGCUUAUUGCCCUGUCGAUUUCCUAGUUAUGGUGAUUGCUGCCAGGGUGAAUGUAACUGUGAAAAAAGAUUUUGUAUUCAUGCACAGAAUGCACAGAAGGUAAGAG